UUAGCCAGUUGGCAGGGUAACGGCCUACCAAAUCGACGAUCAGUAGCCGGCCUGAGAGGGUGGACGGCCACAUUGGGACUGAGACACGGCCCAAACUCCUACGGGAGGCAGCAGUGGGGAAUAUUGCACAAUGGGGGAAACCCUGAUGCAGCGACGCCGCGUGAGCGAAGAAGUAUUUCGGUAUGUAAAGCUCUAUCAGCAGGGAAGAAAAUGACGGUACCUGACUAAGAAGCCCCGGCUAACUACGUGCCAGCAGCCGCGGUAAUACGUAGGGGGCAAGCGUUAUCCGGAUUUACUGGGUGUAAAGGGAGCGUAGACGGUGAAGUAAGUCUGGAGUGAAAGGCGGGGGCCCAACCCCCGGACUGCUCUGGAAACUAUUUGACUGGAGUGCAGGAGAGGUAGGCGGAAUUCCUAGUGUAGCGGUGAAAUGCGUAGAUAUUAGGAGGAACACCAGUGGCGAAGGCGGCUUGCUGGACGAUGACUGACGUUGAGGCUCGAAAGCGUGGGGAGCAAACAGGAUUAGAUACCCUGGUAGUCCACGCAGUAAACGAUGAAUGCUGGCUGUCCGGGGGGACUGACCCCUGGGUGGCGAAGCGAAAGCGAUAAGCAUUCCACCUGGGGAGUACGCCGGCAACGGUGAAACUCAAAGGAAUUGACGGGGGCCCGCACAAGCGGAGGAACAUGUGGUUUAAUUCGAUGAUACGCGAGGAACCUUACCCGGGCUCAAACGGGGAGUGACUCAGGCAGAGACGCCUGUUUCCCACGGGACACUCCCCGAGGUGCUGCAUGGUUGUCGUCAGCUCGUGUCGUGAGAUGUUGGGUUAAGUCCCGCAACGAGCGCAACCCUUAUUGUUAGUUGCUACGCAAGAGCACUCUAGCGAGACUGCCGUUGACAAAACGGAGGAAGGUGGGG
rnacentral:rRNA from 1 species